GGUAAAAUGGCUGAGAUAUUAGGCGUUAAAUUGUAAAUUUAUUUACGAAGAAUUCUUCUUUUACCA
rnacentral:tRNA from 1 species